CCUACGGGCGGCAGCAGUGAGGAAUAUUGGUCAAUGGACGUGAGUCUGAACCAGCCAAGUAGCGUGAAGGAUGACUGCCCUAUGGGUUGUAAACUUCUUUUAUGUGGGAAUAAAAUGUUUCACGUGUGGUGUUUUGUAUGUACCGUAUGAAUAAGGAUCGGCUAAUUCCGUGCCAGCAGCCGCGGUAAUACGGAGGUUCCGAGCGUUAUCCGGAUUUAUUGGGUUUAAAGGGAGCGUAGGUGGAUUGUUAAGUCAGUUGUGAAAGGUUGCGGCUCAACCGUAAAAUUGCAGUUGAAACUGGCAGUCUUGAGUGCAGUAAAGGUGGGCGGAAUUCGUGGUGUAGCGGUGAAAUGCUUAGAUAUCACGAAGAACUCCGAUUGCGAAGGCAGCACACGGCACUGCAACUGACACUGAGGCUCGAAGGUGUGGGUAUCAAACAGGAUUAGAUACCCCAGUAGUC
rnacentral:rRNA from 1 species